GCAUAUAUUUUACUGCAAACUAAGCUUAGCCUUUAUUUUAAGGUCACAGGAUUUGCCACCAUCUAAUGCUUGAGGAGCUGGUUUUUGUUUCUUAACUGCAAAACAAAGGCGGCCUUCACAGGCAUUGAUGUACAGUUAGUUCAUUUGUUCAUUUGUUGAAAACAGGAAAAGUCUCUCGGGCAAGAUAGAAGCAAUCCCCCGAAAGG
rnacentral:misc_RNA from 1 species